AUAUCUCUCUGUACGGGAAGGAUGAGAAGCUUCGACUAAGGUUCGAUUCGAGCGAAAGCGAGAAAGCGUUGCCGCAG
rnacentral:sRNA from 1 species